AAAAAAAUAAUAAUAAUAAUUAUGUUUAGUUGUGAAGUUUGUGAGGUUGGAAACAGGAAAUAAAUGAUUAACACUUGUACUCAUUUGCUAAACAUGCGGGAUCUUCCAUGUCUAAAAGGAAUGUGUUUAUGAAAUUAAAAGUUGUAAUUUUGUUCUGCAUUUUUUAAUGCACUACUAUUGUAUGCAAUAAGAAGCUUAAAUCUUAAAUUAGGAAGAACAAUGUGGUUAUCAGCAAGCACUAUAAAGCACAUUCUUCAUUCUGAAUCAGAAUUGCCUUCGUACAAUUUAGUUUGGUUGCCUUACUUCAAGUUCUGUUUAUAUGCCUUUCAUUCCAUUUGCUAUUUAAGUUGUCAUCUACUAUAUUUGUAGCUUAUGUGGUUAUUAAUGAAAUUUGACUGCUCACUGCAAUUUUAUCAUCUGUUUUGUCUUCGACCCUUAUAGUGGCCCCUUUUUUCUUUUUCAUCACGCUUCCAUUGAGUUCCUGUCACAGUUAAAUAACUUUGCAUCCUUUAUUAUCUCUUCUUUCUCUCUUUUAUUAAGUUUAACUUUAGACUUGUCAUGUCAUGCUUAGGUGGAAAUUAGUGCAAACAUGAAUUUUGCUAAUUUUCAUAAUUAUCUAAGUUAAAAUUAUCAAAAUUCAUGUUAGAACUAACAAGCAGUCACAGUUAAAACUCUUUUUUCCAUUAUUCCCUCUCUUUUAGAAUGAUCUAGGUUGCAUGAAUUUUUUAAUUUUCUCCUUCCUUGGUUGGUAUUACUCAAUCACAAAGAAUAGUUCAACUCUAGAGAGAUUUUCACUAGUCAGUGACUGCUUUUUGGUCCUUAAAGUCUACCAGUAAAAUUCUCAGCAAUUAUCAUAGACGCUUGGUCAUUAUCUAACAAAAAUGUAAAGAGAAAAUGUGAAUCACUUUGCACCCUUGCUUUCCAUGAUGGCAAUGAUUGCUAUUUACUAUUCACUAAUUUUAUAGUUGCAGGAUAUCAGGAAGAGUGUCCACUCCAGUAGUUAUGAAUAGUAAUUUAUGACCCAGUGGGCAAACAAGUUAAUGUUAUUUAAGAUCUGCUAUUGCUCGAGGCAACUUUCAACUUUGUAAGACAGCAUAAUUUGGACUAAAUUGUUGACACAAUUGUGCCGGUAGAUGU
rnacentral:misc_RNA from 1 species